rnacentral:ncRNA from 1 species
GAGGUUCCGGUUCACGGCGCGCGCCCUCCGGCGCGCGGGUCCGACCCGGCGACC